GCAGGUUCAGUGUACAGUGUACAGGGCAAGUCAGCAGAUCACAGAAAGAGUAAAGAGAAAUGUAAUAAUGUAGAGUGGACAUGUAAUGUUAAAGAGAUGUAAUAGUUAUGUUUUCAGUUACAGAUGUGCUAGACUUAGUAGUUUGUGUUGUAAAUCUAUUAUUAUGUACAUGAUCUGUAUAUGUAUAUGUUUUACUGAGUAUGUGAAAACCAG
rnacentral:lncRNA from 1 species